CGGGGCCGGCCGCGGCCCUCAGCGCGCUCUGAGGCGGCUCCGCGCCUCUCCGCCCAGGAUGGAGGCGAGGGAGGCCUGCGCCUUCUUAGCACAGAUGCACCAGGUGGUCUCCAGACCUGUGGCUGAUUUCCUGAGAGCGGACCCUAGCUACAGAGAUGCUUCUUCCCAUGGUCAUCCUGUUGCUUGAGCCCGAAAGCACAUGCAGGUUUCCCGAGCGGAUCCUAAGCAUAAGGGAGAAUGGCGUGGAGCUGGCCCCACCUCGUGGCUCUUUCUGAUAAGGAGUGAUGCAGGUACUUAGCAGGGAGCUGGAUCAGAAGUGGAGCAGCCAGAACUUGGACUGGUGCCCAUAUGGGAUGCUGACACUGCAGAAGCUGGCUUUACCUGCUGCACUACAGCACCAGCCCCCGUUUGGUCACUUUAUGUGAACUUUAUUAAAACAUGAA